GACUCUGUAUUCCACCGCUUUCCAGCGGGAACAUUUACUCCAUUGUCAAAGUGGCCAUGGAUCUGAAGGCAACAGAUGUGCUGCCGGUGCACGUCCAGGUGGCCGGACUGGACAAAUGUGACUCCCGGACAUUUCAGUCAACGAAACACAAGGACUAUCUGAGAAAGAGGACAGAACAAGUAACAGUUGGUAGAAGGGACAUGGAGGCAGAAGGUGGCUCAGGAUAAAAUAGAAGUAUCAGAAUUGCCAACAACAGAAGGGGCUGCUUCACACGGUGAAGGACUUGCUUGUCAUUGGAAGUAUUCAAUUAUGUACACUGCUGUGGGAAUUCUUAUCCUGAAUGAUUGAUACACGACUUCCAAGAUCCCUUCUGAUUUUGAGAGUCUAUCGCUUUCCAAAUGAACAUUCAGGAUCAGGAGCAUGACUGCAAUCAAAAAGACACAAGAAGAAAUGUUGGUGAGGAUAUGAAGAAAUCGGAACCAUCAGACACUGCUGGUGGGAAGGACUUCUCCCCAUCUCCGACUACGUUCUCUACUUCCUCCUGGAGUGCCUUUCUCUGAGCCAUGGAACAGCGCUCCAUUCCUCAGGGAGCUACAAGACAAUGGUGGCUGAAGUGACACCUGGAAAGUCUGCCAGGUCUUGCUGCUUCUUGCAUCCUCCAGAACUAUGGCCACUUGCAUGGAUGGAGUACAUGGCAUCGGUUUGGACCAGUUGCAGAGGAAACUGACCCCGCAGCCCAUGAGGCCUGACACUGGGCAUUGAGGAAGGAAGGCUUGGUGGGGGUGUUGCUGCAACUGCUCUCACAGUUAUGGGAUGAGACCCAGACCAGAUGCUGAGCAUUACUCACCCUUUCAGUCUCCUGGGCUGACAUGUGAUAAUCUGCUAAAGGCCUGUGAGUUCACUUAGGUCUUUAAACCAGUAAGAUUUGGGAACUGGUAUGGUGGACGCCUUCUGAUCUGGAGUCUGGACAAGAAUGAAAAAAAGACAACUUGGCUACCAACCUCAUCCAUCUGGUUUCCUGUGCAAACUGUCAGAGUGACUAUGAAAUCAGUUGUAACUCAUUUCAAACCCAGACAUGUACCUGCCACACUUCUUUGUAGGGAAUGAUGGACUUAGAAAUGCUUUAGGUUCCCAGCAGUUAUUGCAAAGCAGAUAAGGAAUAUAACCAACACACAUGGGGCUGAAAUAAACCAUUUGACCAUCACAUGACCAGCAUAUAACGCAGGCCUUUUUUCACUUAAAGAUGUCACUGGACAUUUACAAAAUUUGGUAAGUGGAGGGCUUCUCUGACCAACAUUAUCAGAUGUUGCUCUUUCAGGAGGUAGACCUUAUGGGCACCAGAGGAAAAUCUUGGAGCUAAUUCAGGAGGCAUUUUAAAUGGACUGUUUUACCAAUUGAAGGCCAAAAGGGCAAGAGGAAACAAACGACCAUAAAAUGAAUUUUCUGCUGCUGGAAUAGAAGAGUUUCCGAGAAAUUAACAUCUCUGCCCUGCUGUUCCAUCGAUAGAGAUUUCCAAUGAUAUUCAAAGAACUUUGCUCUUUCAUCCCUGCCACACCUCUUGUUCUUUCCAAUGUUUAUUUCUAUUAUCAUCCACCAAUAUAUGAGGCAAUUUUGUGCAUAAGGGCUUUCCUAAAGCUUGGAUCAGUUCUAUUAACCUUUAUGCAGUAAUUUAUAGUUAAGGUCUAAAUAGCACUGGUGCAUGUAAAUAGUGUCUGUGGGCUCUGCCAUCCUGAGGAAAGUACUGUGCUUAAGUGACUCCAACACAUUUGCUCAGAACAUUAUGGAAGAAACUGCUGAGAUCUCUGUAGGAAAUUAUUUAGUAAAAUUCUACAGAAGAUAAACAACUGCUUUGUAACAGACUUUUUGUUGUGUUGAGUCUAAUAGUUUUCUGGGAAAUGUAUUGUAUUCCGAGACUUUGUCUCUAUUUAACAUCAGUUUCUGACCUGCUCAUCUAAAAAAAAAAUUUUUUGGAAGCCAGAAAUCUCAGGGACUUCCAAAUUUCCUUGUGAUUUGUCAUCAAGGAUGAGUGAGUUUGAGAAAUCUCUCUACACCUCAGCAGUGAAUGCAAAGAAAGUAGAAAAACCCCUUGGCCAAGCUGAUACCAUGGAACAAAUGUCUCAGAUUUCUCUACAGCCUUCCUUUCGCCGUCUCUCAUCCAAAAGCAGUCUAUCUAUCUCUGACCAUUCUCCAGAAUUGCCCAUCCAGACUCACAGGAGGCCCUGGAGUACCCAGUUGGCCCGCCAAUCCACUGCUCAAAGCUCCCCAGAAACUUGAGUGCUUUCAUAUCUACUUUGAUUCACUCAUUCAUUCAUUCACUCACUCACUCAUUAAUAUCCUACUGAUCGCCUAGGAUUACAAGGCCCUCUGCUAGAUUCUGGAAUACAACUGGAGGCAAGAUAAAUAUGGCUCUUUUUCCUUGUGGAGUUUUAAAUUCCAGCUGGGAAAAGACACAUUCAAAAGGUAAUUCCACAAAUAACUGUUUAAUUUCAACUGAGUAAGAGCCCCGGAAGGAAAGUGUGGUGGAACGAGAAAGUUUAAACAGGGUUUUUUGGCCGCCUUGGGGUGUGGCGCUGGGGGAGGCUAAGAAG
ensembl:lncRNA